GAUCAUGGCUCAGGAUGAACGCUGGCGGCGUGCUUAACACAUGCAAGUCGAACGAGGAAUUUUAAAUGAGUACUUCGGUGGAUUUUGGAAUUCCGAGUGGCGGACGGGUGAGUAACGCGUGGGCAACCUGCCCUGUACAGGGGGACAACAGCUGGAAACGGCUGCUAAUACCGCAUAAGCGCACGGUAUCGCAUGAUACAGUGUGAAAAACUCCGGUGGUACAGGAUGGGCCCGCGUUGGAUUAGGUAG
rnacentral:rRNA from 1 species